rnacentral:rRNA from 1 species
GACAGAGGGUGCGAACGUUGCUCGGAAUUACUGGGCGUAAAGCGUGUGUAGGCGGCCACGCAAGUCGGAUGUGAAAGCCCUGGGCUCAACCCAGGAAGUGCACCCGAUACUGCGCGGCUCGAGUACCGGAGAGGUUGGUGGAAUUCUCGGUGUAGAGGUGAAAUUCGUAGAUAUCGAGAGGAACACCGGUGGCGAAGGCGGCCAACUGGACGAGUACUGACGCUGAGACACGAAAGCGUGGGGAGCAAACAGGAUUAGAUACCCUGGUAGUCCACGCCGUAAACGAUGGAUGCUAGGUGUCGCGGGCUUUGACUCCUGCGGUGCCGUAGCCAACGCAUUAAGCAUCCCGCCUGGGAAGUACGGCCGCAAGGCUAAA